UGGGGGAUAUUGCACAAUGGGCGAAAGCCUGAUGCAGCGACGCCGCGUGGGGGAUGAAGGCCUUCGGGUUGUAAACUUCUUUUGCUCUGAACAAGGCAUGCUAAUGGGUGUGUUGAGUGUAGGUGUUGAUUAGCGCCGGCUAACUACGUGCCAGCAGCCGCGGUAAUACGUAGGGCGCGCGCGUUGUCCGGAAUUAUUGGGCGUAAAGGGCUUGUAGGUGGCUGGUUGCGUCUGUCGUGAAAGCUCAUGGCUUAACUGUGGGUUUGCGGUGGGUACGGGCUGGCUUGAGUGCAGUAGGGGAGGCUGGAAUUCCUGGUGUAGCGGUGGAAUGCGCAGAUAUCAGGAGGAAUACCGGUGGCGAAGGCGGGUCUCUGGGCUGUUACUGACACUGAGGAGCGAAAGCAUGGGGAGCGAACAGG
rnacentral:rRNA from 1 species